rnacentral:rRNA from 1 species
ACGGAAGGCAGCAGUAGGGAAUAUUGCACAAUGGGGGGAACCCUGAUGCAGCAACGCCACGUGUGGGAAGAAGCAUUUCGGUGUGUAAACCACUGUCGUGAGGGAAUAAUGCUUGGUCUCGGCCAAGUUGAAUGUACCUCGAAAGGAAGCACCGGCAACCUUCGUGCCAGCAGCCGCCGUAAUGCGAGGGGUGCAAGCGUUGUUCGGAAUCACUGGGCGUAAAGGGAGCGUAGGCGGCGUCGCAAGCAGUCUGUGAAAUACCGGGGCCCAACCCCGGACCUGCAGACUAGACUGUGUCUCUUGGAUAGUUCAGGGGCAGGCGGAAUUCCUGGUGUAGCGGUGAAAUGCGUAGAGAUCAGGGAGAACACCGAUGGCGAAGGCAGCCUGCUGGGGACUCAUCGACGCUGAGGCUCGAAAGUGCGGGUAGCAAACAGGAUUAGAUACCCUGGUA